rnacentral:rRNA from 1 species
GACGAACGCUGGCGGCGUGCCUAAUACAUGCAAGUAGAACGAAGUUGCGAACGGGUGAGUAACGCGUAGGUAACUGCCUCAUAGCGGGGGAUAACUAUUGGAAACGAUAGCUAAUACCGCAUACUGUGAGAUGGACCUGCGUUGAAUUAGCUAGUUGGGGAGGUAAAGGCUCACAAAGGCGUAGGUACAUAGCCGACCUGAGCGGGGUAUCGGCCACACUGGGACGGAGACACGGUACAGACUCCUACGGGAGGCAGCAGUGGGGAAUAUUGGACAAUGUGCGAAAGCCUGAUCCAGCCAUGCCGCGUGUGUUAAGAAGGUCUUCGGAUUGUAAAGCACUUUAAGUUGGGAGGCGUUACCAACAGAAUAAGCACCGGCUAACUUCGUGCCAGCAGCCGCGGUAAUAC